rnacentral:rRNA from 1 species
GACGAACGCUGGCGGCGUGCUUAACACAUGCAAGUCGAACGGAAAGGCCCUGCUUUUGUGGGGUGCUCGAGUGGCGAACGGGUGAGUAACACGUGAGUAACCUGCCCUUGACUUUGGGAUAACUUCAGGAAACUGGGGCUAAUACCGGAUAGGAGCUCCUGCUGCAUGGUGGGGGUUGGAAAGUUUCGGCGGUUGGGGAUGGACUGGCGGCUUAUCAGCUUGUUGGUGGGGUAGUGGCUUACCAAGGCUUUGACGGGUAGCCGGCCUGAGAGGGUGACCGGCGACAUUGGGACUGAGAGACGGCCCAGACUCCUACGGGAGGCAGCAGUGGGGAAUAUUGCCCAAUGGGCGGAAGCCUGAUGCAGAAACGCCGCGUGCGGGAUGACGGCCUUCGGGUUGUAAACCGCUUUCGCCUGUGACGAAGCGUGAGUGACGGUAAUGGGUAAAGAAGCACCGGCUAACUACGUG